CCUGCGUUGGCGAAGGCGAGAAGC
rnacentral:miRNA from 1 species